UACGAAGGGGGCUAGCGUUGUUCGGAUUUACUGGGCGUAAAGCGCACGUAGGCGGAUUGUUAAGUCAGGGGUGAAAUUCCGGAGCUCAACUCCGGAACUGCCUUUGAUACUGGCAAUCUUGAGGCUGGAAGAGGUUAGUGGAAUUCCCAGUGUAGAGGUGAAAUUCGUAGAUAUUGGGAAGAACACCAGUGGCGAAGGCGGCUAACUGGUCCGAGAUCUGACGCUGAGGUGCGAAAGCGUGGGGAGCAAACAGG
rnacentral:rRNA from 1 species